UNCCCUGAGAAAGAUCUGGGCAGGUCCGUA
rnacentral:piRNA from 1 species